rnacentral:rRNA from 2 species
AACGCGAAGAACCUUACCAGGUCUUGACAUCCUCUGAAAACUCUAGAGAUAGAGCUUCUCCUUCGGGAGCAGAGUGACAGGUGGUGCAUGGUUGUCGUCAGCUCGUGUCGUGAGAUGUUGGGUUAAGUCCCGCAACGAGCGCAACCCUUGAUCUUAGUUGCCAUCAUUAAGUUGGGCACUCUAAGGUGACUGCCGGUGACAAACCGGAGGAAGGUGGGGAUGACGUCAAAUCAUCAUGCCCCUUAUGACCUGGGCUACACACGUGCUACAAUGGACGGUACAAAGAGCUGCAAGACCGCGAGGUGGAGCUAAUCUCAUAAAACCGUUCUCAGUUCGGAUUGUAGGCUGCAACUCGCCUACAUGAAGCGGAAUCGCUAGUAAUCGCGGAUCAGCAU